rnacentral:lncRNA from 1 species
CUUUUUGUGCAAUAUGAAAUUAGCAUUACUUCAUAAUCGUCCUUGUUAAAAAUAAAUCAAAGAUUUUCAUAAGAUAAUUUGUUAAAACUUAAUCAUGUACUUUACAUGGUACAAGAUAUUGCAAAACAUGAGUAAAUAUGUUACAUUUCAUUCAUAUCCUGUUCGUGAAAUAAAACAAUUUUUUAUUGUUUGAAAUUUCUUCUGAAACAUAACUUAUUAUUUGGCUAAUAACAACUUUUUGAUUUUUAUUGUUAGAUGAAGAUUUAAUGUUGCGGGUAUACUUUAUAGAUUUCUGGAUCUUUUUUUCAGAUACUGUACAAAUUAUCAAACUUUGAAACAUGUCACAAUGUAAGGUUUUGUACUGGCAUUUUACGUCGUGCAUGUUUUUGGGAUUCAAAAUCAUUUCUGCUAAUGGUUGCAGAAUUUUUGGACAUGAAAACUUUAAAAGUACUGAUACAAUCAGAUAUGUAUUUAUAGACUUAAUUGAAGUCAUGUUACAAACACAAUUUUACUUAUUUGUAUAUUUACAGCAUAACUUUAGUAAAAUUGUAAUUCUCAUUCAGCUUAAAAGGCAGUAUGAAGUUGUAUUUUAUAAUUUGUUUUAAUUGAAUGUAUUAUUGUACAGUAUAGAAUUCAGUGUACAUAUCCAUU